rnacentral:rRNA from 1 species
UACGGAGGGUGCGAGCGUUGUCCGGAAUCAUUGGGCGUAAAGGCGCGUAGGCGGUUGGAUAAGUCUUGUGUGAAAUCUUCGGGCUCAACUCGAAGUCUGCACGAGAAACUAUCUGGCUUGAGUGUGGGAGAGGUGAGUGGAAUUCCUGGUGUAGCGGUGAAAUGCGUAGAUAUCAGGAGGAACACCUGUGGCGAAAGCGGCUCACUGGACCACACUGACGCUGAGGCGCGAAAGCUAGGGGAGCAAACAGG